CGGGCAGUAGCUCAGCUGGUAGAGCAACAACAACUUUCCGCUGUUGGCAAAUAAAGUUCCUACAUAAGUGUAUCGCAGGUUCGAUCCCUGUCUGCCCGGCAA
rnacentral:tRNA from 1 species